GCUGUUCAGUGAUGAUCCUCUGGAAUAUGCGCUCAGCACAGCGCCUGAGUGGAACUGAAGAACUAUUCCCUGUUGCCUUCCUUCUGAGAACAGC